AAGUCAGCGAUUUCCUUGUAGGAAACUUCUACAUGUGCCUUGUAGGAAGCACUUUAAGCACUUGAGAGACGCCUUCACUUCGCUGGAUGAUUAACUCAAUUUUGACAUCGCUCCACUUCCACCUCAGACAGAAGGCAACCUGGAACUCCUCGUCACCCCACUCGUCUCUCGGUACGUCCCUGGUCUCCCCACUCCCGAUAGCGCACCUAAACCCACCCGGAUCUACACCAACCUCCAUGCUCAGCUCCCUCCACCUAAAGCGCUCAGGAACCCUGCCACAAGUAAGCUCCUAGUCCUCAGACCGGACCCACUCCCCUCUCGAGUCAUCCACACUUCAAGACCAUCCCCCCACCGAAAUCCUGUCUGAAGAACUCAGCUUGACUUCCUCACUGCUCUUUUAGUUUCCCUUUUAAUAAAUUUUUUUUUGAAACUC